rnacentral:rRNA from 1 species
UAGAGUUUGAUCCUGGCUCAGGAUGAACGCUGGCAGUGUACUUUAGGCAUGCAAGUCGAACGGGUUGAGUGCCUAGCACUUUGGGUUUUAUGGAACCUGAAGUGCUAGGUAGGAGACCAGUGGCAGACGGGUGAGAAUAGACAGGAAUCUACCCUUUAGUGUGGAAUAGCUCACCGAAAGGUGGGGUAAUACCGCAUAAGUCCGCGAGGAGAAGGUCCGUAACUGGACGCUAUUGGAUGAGCCUGUUGGCUAUCAGCUAGUUGGUAGGGUAAUGGCCUACCAAGGCUACGACGGCUAGGGGGCGUGAGAGCGUGGCCCCCCACAAGGUUACUGAGAUACGGAGCCUACACCUACGGGUGGCAGCAACCGGGAAUUUUGCACAAUGGACGAAAGUCUGAUGCAGUGACACUGCGUGCGGGAUGAAGGCCCUCGGGUCGUAAACCGCUGUGAUAGAGGAAAAUAUAAGAUGGUACUUUAUUAGAAAGCACCUGCUAACCACGUGCCAGAAGCCUCGGUAAUACGUGGGGUGCAAGCGUUAUCCGGAUUUAUUGGGCGUAAAGAGUAUCGUAGGCUGUUUCUUAAGUAUCGGAUUAAAGACCCCGGCUCAACUGGGGGAGUGUUCGAUAAACUGGGAGACUAGUGGUUGUUCGGGGUUGUCGGGAUUCUUAGUGGAGAAGUGAAAUUUCUUUGAUAUUAAGAAGAAACAUCAAAAGCGAAGGGCGGGCAACUAGGACAUACCAGACGCUGAUGAACGAAAGCUAGGGGAGCGAAAGGGAUUAGAGACCCCUGUAGUCCUAGCCGUAAACUAUGAACACUAGCUAUUUGGAAUUUAUUCUGAGUGGCGUAAGCUAACGCGUUAAGUGUUCCGCCUGGGGAGUACGACCGCAAGGUUAAAACUCAAAGGAAUUGACGGGGAAACGCACAACCAGCGUGCCAUGUGGUUUAAUUGGAUACGAAACCUUGAACCUUACCCAGGUUUGACAUGUACCUGCAAAUCGAUGGAAACAUGGACUUCUUCGAGAGUGGUACACAGCUGUUGCAUGGUUGUCGUCAGUUCGUGUCGUGAGGCGUGCGCUUAAGUGCGCAAACGAACGCAACCCCUGACCUAUGUUAAAUAUCCAUAGGUGACUGCCCCGCUUUUAGCGGGGAGGAAGGAGGGGAUGAUGUCAAAUCAGCAUGACGCUUACAUCUGGGGCUACACACAUGGCGUAAUGGUCGGGACAACGGGAUGCCAAGGCGCGAGCCGGAGCUAAUCCUUAGAAACCUGACCUCAGUUCGGAUUGCAGGCUGCAAUUCGCCUGCAUGAAGGGGAGUUGGUAGUAAUCGCGGAUCAGCAACACCGCGGUGAAUACGUUCUCGUUUCA